rnacentral:rRNA from 1 species
GAAGCUGGAAUUGCUAGUAAUCACAGGUCAGCAUACUGUGGUGAAUACGUUCCCGGGCCUUGUACACACCGCCCGUCACACCAUGAGAGUCGAUAACACCCGAAGCCUGUAGUCUAACCAUAAGGAGGACGCAGUCGAAGGUGGGAUUGAUAAUUAGGGUGAAGUCGUAACAAGGUAGC